CUUUGGAUGCGACACAACUAUGCCGGGUAGGCAAAUCUUAAUUACGGUGCACAUCAAUUAUGUAUUACUGCAAUACUGGAGCUUUUUUUAAAUUAAUGGAGUGAAUUACAUUAUUUAAGAAAAAGCGUAUAAUUUGCUCGCUUAAUUAGGUUACUCAGAGAGAAGGACAUCAUUGAACAAUCAGUGAUUGCUUAUAAAGGCUGAAAAACGAAAUUAAUGAAUAGAGAAUUCGCUACAGCAUACCUACAUCUUUUAUUUAAGAUCCUGGAACUCCUCACUGCUCUGGUUCCUUCUUCAGCGCUAUGUGUCAGCUCUGAGCUAUGGGCUGCACACUCCUGCAUCGGUGUUGCUUCUCAUCGGUCACGGCUUGACCCUCAAGAUUAUGGGCCAUAAUCUUCUACUGCCUACGAUGUUUCACUCUGAGAGCGUGGAGCCUACAUGAGUUCCGGCACUAAUUACUAUUAGGUUGCUUUUGUUCUGCAUCGCAUCUGAUACAGUAUAUAACACUGUUAGCUCAGGUGGGUGGCUGGCACCCAGCACUGCGCCUAUUUUGCAGGGGGUUGUUUGGGCUCGUACGUAGAAAACUCUCACGCACAGCUCAUAUUGCUCAGCAAGGCCACCUGGCGGUGCAUCUAUAUUGCAGGUGGUUGGCUG